rnacentral:rRNA from 1 species
UGGGGCCCAGAUCGUUUACCGUGAAAAAAUUAGAGUGUUCAAAGCAGGCAGAUCCAAUUUUCUGCCACCGAAUACAUUAGCAUGGGAUAAUGGAAUAGGACCCUGUCCUCCUAUUUUCAGUUGGUUUUGGCAGCGCGAGGACUAGGGUAAUGAUUAAUAGGGAUAGUUGGGGGCAUUAAUAUUUAAUUGUCAGAGGUGAAAUUCUUGGAUUUAUGAAAGAUUAACUUCUGCGAAAGCAUCUGCCAAGGAUGUUUUCAUUAAUCAAGAACGAAAGUUAGGGGAUCGAAGACGAUCAGAUACCGUCGUAGUCUUAACCAUAAACGAUGCCGACCAGCGAUUAGGAGACGUUGAAUACAAAACACCACCAUCGGCGCGGUCGUCCUUGGCGUGUCUCGGCUUCACGGCCGGGGCGCGCGAGGGCGGUUUAGCCCGGUGGCACCGGUGAAUGACUCCCCUAGCAGCUUGUGAGAAA